UAUUCGAGUCAUCAUGCUGCCAUGACGACAGCCGCAAAGUUAAAGGGGCAGCGCGCCCCCAGCGAGGAAGCUAGCCUGCAAGUUGUUUAAUAACUCUUCCAACAGCCACACAAUCAGUAAAUAUCAGUCGGGGAUUGCACUGAACAAUAAACUGCGUAAGCAACUACAAAUAUGUUGCAGUGCACCGAGAAAUAAAGCGAAUUAUUUGAACUAAGGCCUACUUCUAGGGCCAAACCUGCACUUGGGAGCCAUAAACAACACUUGAAACUGAAGUGGCUGACUGUACCUGUGAAGGACACCUCGGCGUCACUGUCCAUGCCCUCCUCCUGGAUGCUGUCCUUAUCGGAUUUGGAGCUUCCCCGUGACCUCUUCAUAUUGCGGAAGUACUGACCCCAUCUCUGCCGCCCGGCGUCUUUCUUCAGCCUUUUCUCUUUAGCUCGCCUGUUCUGAAACCAAACCUGGAGGGUGAAAUAAACAAAACGUUGGCACCACGCCCUUCAUCAAAUCCUCUACUCUUUCGUUGAUGCACAUAUUCCGAUCUGUAAAACAAAAAGUAGGAGACUGCAGGAGUGACACUGAGGAGUAAUCCUGAACUGCUACAAGUUGUCCUCACCCGGGGGCGCAGACAGCUUUGUGGGACCACUACUCUCAGCCUUCACCACCUACACCGCCCACCUCAGGUGUCCCACCUGUCAGGCAGGAAUGUGACACCUGUUGAGCACGUUGUGUCGCUGGACUGCGGGUGGGAGCGGCUUUGCGUCUGCUGGCAGUCUGUCCGCACAAGGGGGCCGCUUCGGGCCCGGUGCGCUCUCUCUUUCCUCUCUCCUGCGUCCAUAUUCCCUGCGCCCUGAGCUCCAGUGACAACCGCGGGCGGCGGUGUGAAAUGACAGCACGCGCAUAACAUCUGUUCUCGUGAUUCUCCAACAAUGAAGACUCAUUACGGAUUCAUAACGUCUCCCACACGCAGUGCAAAACAGGCGCCUCUAAACAGUCUGUGUACAUCAACUCACGUUGCCCAACAGACGAUUUCUGCAACUUCUAUCUCCAUAUAGUUUUUAUUUUUUUAUUUUUAUAAAGGAAACUUUAAAAAAAAUAAUGGAACUCAAAAUACUCAUCAAACGUUCGUAUCUUGGCUUUUCCCCAAUAAAACAUAGGGUCAAUUUCAUGGUUUCGCUCAACAACAAUCCGUCCGUCUGUGCUAAUUUUCCGCAUUAUCUUCCAUUUCACGCCCAACGGGAUGACACAUUCGCAGACUCCAGGAUAUCAAAAGUCACUUACUCUACUAGAUAGCUGGUUUUACCCAAGCCCAGUGAGUGAUAUGUAGGGACAGUAACAAAAAAAUAAAAUAAAAAAUAG